GACGAACCGUGCGAACGUUAUUCGGAAUCACUGGGCUUAAAGCGCGUGUAGGCGGCCCGGCACGUCCGUCGCUGAAAUCCCCCGGCUCAACCGUGGAACGGCCCCGGGUACGGGCGGCCUCGAGGAAGGUAGGGGCGUGCGGAACUGUGGGUGGAGCGGUGAAAUGCGUUGAUAUCCACAGGAACUCCGGUGGCGAAGGCGGCACGCUGGACCUUUUCUGACGCUGAGGCGCGAAAGCCAGGGGAGCGAACGGG
rnacentral:rRNA from 1 species